rnacentral:tRNA from 1 species
GGCUAGGUGGCAGAGUGGUUAUGCAGCGGCCUGCAAAGCCGUGUACACCGGUUCGAUUCCGGUCCUAGCCUCCA